rnacentral:rRNA from 1 species
CCUACUGGUGGCAGCAGUGGGGAAUAUUUCGCAAUGGGGGCAACCCUGACGCAGCAACGCCGCGUGAUUGAAGAAGGCCUUCGGGUUGUAAAGAUCUUUAAUCGGCGACGAAUUUUGACGGUACCCGAAGAAUAAGCUCCGUCUAACUACGUGCCAGCAGCCGGGGCAAUACGGCGGGAGCAAGCGUUAUCCGGAUGUACUGGGUGUAAAGGUCGUGUAGGCGGGCAUGCAAGCAAGAAGUGAAAUCUGGGGGCUUAACCCCCAAACUGCUUUUGGAAAUGCGUGGCUUGAGUGAUGGAGGGGCAGGGGGAAUUCCCAGGGUAGCGGUGAAAUGCGUAGAUAUUGGGAGGAACACCAGUGGCGAAGGCGGCCUGCUGGACAUUAACUGACGCUGAGGCGCGAAAGCGUGGGGAGCAAACAGGAUUGGAUACCCGUGUAGUC